AAAAAGGGCAGACCCUGUGCUGGGGCGAUGUCAUCGCCUGUGCCGCUCCUUCGCGGGCUGGCGCGGCGCUCUGACUUCGGCGAAUCGUGAUCACGAGAUUUGCUCUGCAGAAUUUGUGACCCGCCAGACUGGGAACGGGCCUUCAUGAGGCUGGCUCCCCU
rnacentral:snRNA from 1 species